GUUCCACCUGCCUCCCCCAAACCCCACGAAGCCAUCACCACUAGAACAAUCUGCAGUUAACCCGCCACCACCACCACCCUCCGGAUACAGCUCGACAACACCAGAACCUGCACUCACCUCCUCGUUGCUCCACAGCCGCUGCUGCACCUACAGGUGUGGAUUGUGUGCAAUUGUAGGUAUACGGUGGUUGGCUUGAAGUAUCACCGUCAAAUAUUUGGUGGAGGCUGAAGUGGCGGUCGAGUGAGAGAAGGGAUUACGUCGCUUAACCUGGUCACAUGGCUUGACACUUGAGCUUUAAUGGUUGACAUGGAUCUGCUAUCUCAGAUACCAACGUGGGGGAGUGAUGGUGAGAUCCGCCGUUUAAGAAAGUGGGUUUGGUCCUAAUUUAUCAAAUGUGAGAGGAUUUGGUGAUUGCUAGGAAGUCAAAUGCGAGACAUAUGAAAAGAUCUUUCCUUUCAAGAACAUUUGCGCUAGGAGAAAGGUAAUCUAUAUCAGGGUACACUCAGUGGAAGAUGGGGCAUGGCUGGGUCUGAAUGAAGAGAGGCCAGAAACUACCAUCUUCCGACAAGUUAAGUUGCGGCAGGUGCUUUUCGAUACAUAACAGGUCUGCGAAUCAAAUUGUAGUUUAACUCAUACAAUGUCAAACUUCAAAUGUUUGUCAUCCUCGCCACAGCACGCGGGUUGAAAGCACUACUACUGUUUUAGUAUGGUGAUAUAAACAAACUCCUAUGUAAUUUUUGGUUGUUUGAAUGUGAAUUACUGUUUAAUUCUUUGUAUACAUAUGAACGUUUUGGCAUGUAUGUGAGUAACAAUGUAAAUAGAAGUAAAUUAUUUUUU
rnacentral:lncRNA from 1 species